AACCGUGAUGUAUUAAAUGUUAUUAAUUUAAAGUUUCGAGCGAUGCAGAGAAGAGAAUAUUAAAGGUGUCUAAAGCCAUCACUUCAGAGAGAGCAAGUCCUGUUCAUAAAGACAUAAGCAUUCACAGCAAUUCUCUCCUGGCACAAACUUAUUAGCUACAAAUCAUGAAGAAAAAAUGUAUUUGUCGUCGAUGAAUUGAUGAAAACGAACACGCUUGUGAAAGAGGCGCUGCUAACAGACAGCUGAAUCCAACGAAGACACCACAGUCAAUAUCUGUAGAGCUUCGUGAACCAAGUUCGUAAAUACCUUUAAUUAUUGUUGAACCGUAAAUCGUGGCCUUUAAGCUCUUU